rnacentral:rRNA from 1 species
CAAGUCGAACGGCAGCGACGGGAGUCUUGCUCCUGGUGGCGAGUGGCGAACGGGUGAGUAAUACAUACGGAACGUACCCUGAAGGUGGGGAUAACGUAGACGAAAGUUACGCUAAUACCGCAUAUUCUGUGAGCAGGAAAGAGGGGGAUCGCAAGACCUCUUGCUUUAGGAGCGGCCGAUGUCGGAUUAGCUAGUUGGUGAGGUAAAGGCUCACCAAGGCGACGAUCCGUAGCGGGUCUGAGAGGAUGAUCCGCCACACUGGGACUGAGACACGGCCCAGACUCCUACGGGAGGCAGCAGUGGGGAAUUUUGGACAAUGGGCGCAAGCCUGAUCCAGCCAUGCCGCGUGAGUGAAGAAGGCCUUCGGGUUGUAAAGCUCUUUCGGAGGGGAAGAAAUUGCACAGGAUAAUACCUUGUGUAGAUGACGGUACCCGCAUAAGAAGCACCGGCUAACUACGUG